rnacentral:rRNA from 1 species
UACGGAGGAUCCAAGCGUUAUCCGGAAUCAUUGGGUUUAAAGGGUCCGUAGGCGGUCUUAUAAGUCAGUGGUGAAAUCUCCCCGCUCAACGGGGAAACGGCCAUUGAUACUGUAAGACUUGAAUUAUUGGGAAGUAACUAGAAUAUGUAGUGUAGCGGUGAAAUGCUUAGAUAUUACAUGGAAUACCGAUUGCGAAGGCAGGUUACUACCAAUGGAUUGACGCUGAUGGACGAAAGCGUGGGGAGCGAACAGG